AAGGGGGUAGUUUAAGGUAAAAAAUUAGAAGUUUGAAACUUUUAGAAGGAUGUGUUGUUUUCCCUUUG
rnacentral:tRNA from 1 species